rnacentral:rRNA from 1 species
GGAUCGGAGUCUGNAACCCGACUCCGUGAAGCUGGAUUCGCUAGUAAUCGCGCAUCAGCCAUGGCGCGGUGAAUACGUUCCCGGGCCUUGUACACACCGCCCGUCAAGCCAUGGGAGCCGGGGGUGCUUGAAGUGCGUCGCCGCAAGGCGCGCCCUAGAGCAAAACCGGUGACUGGGGCUAAGUCGUAACAAGGUACC